rnacentral:rRNA from 1 species
UACAGAGGUCUCAAGCGUUGUUCGGAUUCAUUGGGCGUAAAGGGUGUGUAGGUGGCGCCGUAAGUCGGGUGUGAAAUUUCGGAGCUUAACUCCGAAACUGCAUUCGAUACUGCGGUGCUUGAGGACUGGAGAGGAGACUGGAAUUCAUGGUGUAGCAGUGAAAUGCGUAGAGAUCAUGAGGAAGACCAGUGGCGAAGGCGGGUCUCUGGACAGUUACCGACGCUGAGGCACGAAGGCCAGGGGAGCAAACGGG